AGUGAACGCUGGCGGUAGGCCUAACACAUGCAAGUCGAACGGCAGCACAGUAAGAGCUUGCUCUUCCGGGUGGCGAGUGGCGGACGGGUGAGGAAUACAUCGGCAUCUACUUUUUCGUGGGGGAUAACGGAGGGAAACUUACGCUAAUACCGCAUACGACCUACGGGUGAAAGCAGGGGAUCUUCGGACCUUGCGCGAUUGAAUGAGCCGAUGUCGGAUUAGCUAGUUGGCGGGGUAAAGGCCCACCAAGGCGACGAUCCGUAGCUGGUCUGAGAGGAUGAUCAGCCACACUGGAACUGAGACACGGUCCAGACUCCUACGGGAGGCAGCAGUGGGGAAUAUUGGACAAUGGGCGCAAGCCUGAUCCAGCCAUACCGCGUGGGUGAAGAAGGCCUUCGGGUUGUAAAGCCCUUUUGUUGGGAAAGAAAAGCAGCAGGUUAAUACCCCGCUGUUCUGACGGUACCCAAAGAAUAAGCACCGGCUAACUUCGUG
rnacentral:rRNA from 1 species